AGCGAACGCUGGCGGCAGGCUUAACACAUGCAAGUCGAACGCAUCCUUCGGGGUGAGUGGCAGACGGGUGAGUAACACGUUGGAACGUACCCUUCGAUCUGGGAUAACUUCGGGAAACUGGAGCUAAUACCGGCUACGCCCUUUUGGGGAAAGGUUUACUGUCGAAGGAUCGGCACCCGUCUGAUUAGCUUGUUGUUGGGGUAACGGCCUCCCAAGGCGACGAUCAGUAGCUGGUCUGAGAGGAUGAUCAGCCACACUGGGACUGAGACACGGCCCAGACUCCUACGGGAGGCAGCAGUGGGGAAUAUUGGACAAUGGGGGCAAGCAUGAUCCAGCCAUGCCGCGUGAGUGAUGAAGGCCUUAGGGUUGUAAAGCUCUUUUGUCCGGGACGAUAAUGACGGUACCGGAAGAAUAAGCCCCGGCUAACUUCGUG
rnacentral:rRNA from 1 species